AGCGAACGCUGGCGGCGUGCUUAACACAUGCAAGUCGAACGGAUCCGGGGGGCAACCCUCGGAUUAGUGGCGAACGGGUGAGUAACACGUGGGUAAUCUCCCCCCGAGUGAGGAAUAAGCCUGCGAAAGCGGGUCUAAUACCGCAUGACGUCCCGGGACGUAUGUCCUUGGACCAAAGCCGUAAGGCGCUUGGGGAUGAGCCUGCGUCCUAUUAGCUAGUUGGUAGGGUAACGGCCUACCAAGGCGAUGAUGGGUAACCGGCCUGAGAGGGUGAACGGCCACACUGGAACUGAGACACGGUCCGGACUCCUACGGGAGGCAGCAGUGGGGAAUUUUGCGCAAUGGGCGAAAGCCUGACGCAGCGACGCCGCGUGGAGGAAGACGGCCUUCGGGUUGUAAACUCCUGUCAGAGGUGAAGAAUGCCCGCAAGGGCUUGACGGUAACCUCAGAGGAAGCCCCGGCUAACUACGUGCCAGCCGCCGCCGUAAGAC
rnacentral:rRNA from 1 species